rnacentral:lncRNA from 1 species
UAUGGGGGAGGUGUAUAUAUUCAGAGCCAUAUCCCUGUAAUGUUUAUGGGGGAGGUGUAUAUAUUCAGAGCCAUAUCCCUGUAAUGUUUAUAGGGGAGGUGUAUAUAUUCAGAGCCAUAUCCCUGUAAUGUUUAUAUGUAUUGAUCACAUUUUUAUCUAAUACUGUAGAACUUUGUUCUAAAGCUGUAUCUGUACCCAUUGAAUGCAGUGAUUACCAUAUAGUGGCUAUAUCCAGGAAAGGCAAAGUUCCAACAGCUGGUGCCUAAAAUAGUGUAUAAGAGAUCAUACAUAACAUUUAGCUGUGACUCUUAUGUGGAUGAUGUUAAAAUUAUGUGUUGGUCUGAUGUGAUUAAUAAGGAGCAUCCAGAUGCUGCACUUGAUGAAUUUAUGAAAUUGCUUCUUCCAAUGAUUGAUAAACAUGAACCUGUUAAGAAACUGACCGUUAGAACUGUUAAGGCUCCACGGAUUGAUGAGGAACUGACCGUUAGAACUGUUAAGGCUCCACGGAUUGAUGAGGAACUGACCGUUAGAACUGUUAAGGCUCCAUGGAUUGAUGAGGAACUGACCGUUAGAACUGUUAAGGCUCCACGGAUUGAUGAGGAACUGAAAACCUGUAUGGUUGAAAGAGACGGGGAUAAAGGAGUGGCUAAUAAGACUGGCUGCAAAUGAAAAAAUUAUGUGACUGAACUCAACAAAAAGUAGAAACUGUGUUAUGAUGCCGAGAUGAAUGAUUGCAUAAAACUUUGGCGUACUUUAAAUGAAACUAUGGGCACAAAGACAUUCAACUCCAUCAUUCAUCACAAAACCAUUUGAUGUUGCCAAUUACUUCAUUUGGCAAAGUGGGCAAGAAAUGCCAACAACAAACAGUGAGACGUAUUCAUGCAUAAAAAAACGAAUAAUGAAAGAAAAGCAUUGCAAGUUCGAAUAUUAUAAAGUUAGUGUGGGAGAGGUAGAAUUGUUAUUGAUAAAUAAUGACAAACUUCCUGGCAUUGACAACUUAGAUGGAAAGUUGAGGAUGGUAUCUGACUCUAUAGCCACUCCUAUCUGUCAUAUCUUUAACCUGAGACGAGAGGAAAGUCUUUGUCCUCAGGCCUGGAGGGAAGCCAAAGUCAUUCUGCUACCCAGGAGUGGUAAAGCGGCCUUUACUGGAUCUAACAGCAGACCUAUCAGCUUGCUGCCAGCUCUUAGCAAACUGUUGGAAUAAAUAGUGUUUGUAUCAAGGCACAAGGCGAGUCCCAAUCACAGGGACAGGUGAAACAGACACAAGGUGAGACCCAGAUGCAGACACGGGAGGCAGAUGGUUGGAGUCUUACAAUGUUUAAUCAUUCAAAAGGAGUAGGCAAGAGAAUGGUCGUGGACAGGCAAAAAGGUCAUAACCAGAUCAGAGUCCAAUAGGUACCGAAGGGCAGGAAGAUUCAAGGUCAGGGAAGGCAGGAUGAUCAGGCAGGCAGGAAAGGAGUCCAGAGUCAAGCAGGGGUCAGAAUCGGGAAGACUAGCAAAAGAGAAUAGAAAAAGCACUCUGGUUGACUUGACUAAACAUACAAGACGAACUGGCACAAAGAAACAGGAAACAGGGAUAAAUACACUGGUACAGAGAGACAGGAAACACAGGGAUAAAUACACUGGUACAGAGAGACAGGAAACACAGGGAUAAAUACACUGGCACAGAGAGACAGGAAACACAGGGAUAAAUACACUGGUACAGAGAGACAGGAAACACAGGGAUAAAUACACUGG